rnacentral:rRNA from 1 species
UACGGGGGGGGCAAGCGUUGUUCGGAAUUACUGGGCGUAAAGGGCUCGUAGGCGGCCAACUAAGUCAGACGUGAAAUCCCUCGGCUUAACCGGGGAACUGCAUCUGAUACUGGAUGGCUUGAGUUCGGGAGAGGGAUGCGGAAUUCCAGGUGUAGCGGUGAAAUGCGUAGAUAUCUGGAGGAACACCGGUGGCGAAGGCGGCAUCCUGGACCGACGCUGACGCUGAGGAGCGAAAGCCAGGGGAGCAAACGGG